GCUCAUCCUCUUCUCUCAGUUGGUAGAACAUGAGAGACUCUUCAUCUCAAGGUCGUGGGUUUGAGCUCCACGUUGGGCA